UACAGAGGUCCCAAGCGUUGUUCGGAUUCACUGGGCGUAAAGGGUGCGUAGGUGGUCGGGUAAGUCUGACGUGAAAUCUCCAAGCUCAACUUGGAAACUGCGUUGGAUACUAUCCGGCUUGAGGAAUGGAGGGGAGACUGGAAUACUUGGUGUAGCAGUGAAAUGCGUAGAUAUCAAGUGGAACACCAGUGGCGAAGGCGAGUCUCUGGACAUUUCCUGACGCUGAGGCACGAAAGCCAGGGGAGCAAACGGG
rnacentral:rRNA from 1 species